CCUGCAAGUCAAGCACCAAAAGGGGUUAGUGAUUUCCCCAACCAAAAAGAUAAAGUCUUGGACCUUCACCAAAAUAGUAAAGAUGCCAAGUAUGCUAUGUCCCCAUCAAACAAUCAGCCAAGUCUAAGAAAAAAAAACAAGAAUCAAGAUAUCCUCAUAUCUCUCCACUAGAAUUUGAGAUAAUAGAAUCUUCCAUGAGAAGUCAUCGCCUAAGCCCACAAUAGAGUAGACAGAUUCUCUUCUCCCAUCGAUCAAGGCUGAGGAAACAGCCAAGAGAGACAACCAUACAUACACCAAAAGAGGUAUGAAAGACAUAAACAUUAAACUCAAAAGAGGGAGAGCUGGCAGCCCCAAAAUAGGAGCCUUUGCCUCCAAGUCUCAAGCACAAAAAGCCAAGAAUAGAGCACUAUAUAAGCAGCCUCAUCUCCCUUCUCCUCCCCACAAAAAUCGACACCCCAAACUCACAUAAAGUCAAGGAAUAUAGCAAGGAAGGGAGGAGGAGCAAGCAGGAGAUUUUGAGGCUGGACAUCAGUCCCAUCCGAGAGGAUUCAUCAAAGUGAGGAUAAACUGCUCAAGGGCAAGUGAGGCCAACGCAAAUAAUUGAAUUAAGGAAUAAGCAUACCAGGUUGAACGUCAAGAGGAUGGAGUGAUGAUCGGAGUCGAUGUUAUCAAGUUGAUCUCCCAACGAUUCGUGUCUUCAUACACGAAGUCGUUUAGCAAGGACUUAUUCCGCUGUGCUCUUAGAAUUAUAGAACCUCACCAUCAACUCUGAUUUAUUUGAGGAGAUGUCUAUUCUGUUUUCAAGACCGUGUAAUGAAAUACUUGGCUUCUAUGUAAUCAAUUGACUUAGCCUUGUGAAA